ensembl:lncRNA
UGUGUUAAGGACCGGCCCUGCCUCCGUCAGGUACCGUUGUCUGCGGGGGGAGAGAAUCCAGCCACUGCUGCAGGCGGGGUAGCGUGGAGCUCGCAAACAGACGUGGAUGUCGGUCAACUGAGCCAACUUUUCUCACGUUUUGUUAGGAGUGAACUGUGCUUCCAUGAUGCGCCAUUGUAUGAAAUCAGACUGAACUGAGACCCUCCUGGGUCAGCAGAUAAUCACAGGAGGGAGUGACUAAAAUCACGGAAGAAGGGGAAACUGUUUUAUUUGUAAAAGUCAUAUGAUAUUUACAGCACAGUCUCUAAACUCAGUGUGUGAAAGUCAGUCCGGCUCAUUUAAUGACACUGAGAUGAUUGAGAGAUGAUGAUAAUGAAAAUGCAACAACUUUUUCUAAUGCAGUGUGUGCUUAUAUUAGCACAAACCCUUUUCUUAAGUCCUGUAGACCUGGUCUUUCCAAAAUGUAUGAAUUAACCUUAAAGAUUUUAAUGUGUAAGAAAUGUGCUUAGUCUUGAUUUAUGUCCAGUCAUCCAACUUUUUUGGGUUGUGUACUUUGUUUUUGUUUUUUUGUUGUUGUUAUGUUUUUUUUAUUUGUUGUUGCUGUUGUUUGUUUUGUUUGUUUGUUUUUUUAAAAUAACUGUCUGCAGUUUGUGUGGCUUUACGGUAUGUGCACGUUUUCCUGGCGAAAAUGUUAGUGUUUUGUUUUUUUGUUUUUUUUAAAAGAGUAACUGUGUAUGUCUUUGCUGUAAACAUGCAAGUCUGUAGGUUAACGCUGCACGCUUUUUCUUAGUUCCUCAGAGUGUGAGUGGUGCAGUGCAGCGCUCCCUUUUUUUUUCUUUUUUCUUUUUUUUCCCUCUUUCUCUUUCAAUUGGCUUUUCAAAGCAUAAUUUAAGUGUGCAGGCUUGAAAAAGUCACGGUGUGGGUGGCAUGGGGGGUAAGUUUCCUAUUUGAGGCAAGUCAGGGUGGGGGUGGUGGGCCUUGUUAAGGAAUGUUGAGGGCAGGGCCACUCUGGUUGGGCGCAGGGGGUUGGAGUGUGAGAGAGAGAGAGAGAGAGAGAGAGAGAGACUUGCCUGUAGCUUUACUUAGCCAAUUUUGCAAGUGACUGUGGAAUUUGCUGCUUGUUGUCUGGCUCAAGGGGGAAGUGUUGUAGUGAGGUGUAUACUGGAGAUAUUGUUUGCAGUCGUGUCUUUAGCUGCUUGUUCAGUCUCUUGUGUCUAAUAAUGUAAUGAGAAGACUGAAAAACGAGAAACUAUUAGUGUUGGGAAGGCCUGUUAUUGUACCACUGGUGGAUAUCAUGGUAAUUAUUAGUGGAGAUUCACCCUUCUAGUUUUAUGUAAAUAUGGCUAAUGUUUAGGGUAGCAUGGUUGUUAGCACUGUUGCCUCACAGUUCAAUUCUACCAUCAGGCCGGGGUCUUUCUGUGUGGAGUUUGCAUGUUCUCCCCAUGUUUCCAUGGGUUUUCUCUGAGCUUCCUCCUAAAGUCUAAAGAUAUGCAGUGAGUGGGGUUAAGUUAACUGGUCACUCCAAAUUGCCCAUGGGUGUGAAGACGAGGUAAUUAUUAAAAAAAUAAAAUAAAAUAAAAAGCAGGAUAUGCAUGUCAUAGUAGUCCCAUGUUUUUAAUGAACAAUGUUACAGCAGCAGCUUUUGUCAUUUUGUCCAAAUGGAAAUAGUAAAAGCUUCAAUCAGCCAAUUGUGUGCUGUCACAAAUGCCAAAGUACAGUGGGAGAGGUUGGAUGGCCAGCAUGCAGACGCUUGCUGCUGUGAUGGUGAUGACAGGCAAAUAUCAGAGCAGACUGGCUCCAUAUGAAAUGCAGCCUAUAGGGACGCUUCAAGCAGGAGAGAGUUAUUCUGCAGCUUCUGUUAAUGUGUCUCCUGACUGACCAGCUAUAUCUAGCCCCUCAAGCACAGCAGCAAGUAGAUCCAGGGGUAAACGCACCUUAACCACCUCCAGAGGUGAGACAUCCAGUUAAAAAGUCAAUGUGUAAAUGCUUCAAGGAGGCCACAGGAAGUUGCUGCACACAAACACAUCCUGGUAGUGUUGUUCUCAGUUUCCAUUUUAUUUGCUGCAAAUAUGAAUCAAAUGUGUAUAAACAAAGCACUUAGCAUGAUGAGCAAAUAAAACAGAUGGAGCUGGACUGGGAAUCAACCCCAACCUGUUCAUAUGUUAUGCUGUGAAUAAAUUCAGUUUAAAUGCAGUUUGCAGUUGAUUAGAUCAAUUAUUCAACUGCUUCAUUUGUGAAAGAAAAUUAACCAUGGUAGUAUUAUUAUUAUUAUUAUUGUUGUUGCGUGAAGGGGGUUAUGGAGUAGAUCAACGACGUGGUCAGGAACCUGACUAUUUCUUGAGCACAAAGUGGGAGAGAAGAAGAGUGGAAUUAAAUUCAUCUGUUGUCUCGAAUGUCUUUGGUUUUAUUGAAUGUCACUGAAAAUGAUGUAGUCUGCCUAACAUGCUUUCUGUUACCAAAAAAAGAGGGAGCGAGAGAGAGGUCAUUGAAAGGACCAACAAAGAUAUUUAUUCAUCAUGCAGUGAAUAAGCUGGAAGCCCUUUAAACACACUAACCUAAAAUGGAAUAAAUCAUAUUUAUAAAACGGGGAAAAUAAAGCCAUUGGAAAACACUACAACACCCCUUUUUCAAGAAGAUGUGAAUUUAAUUUUUCUGCAAAGAGUCCAACAUUUGAAAACUCCCUGUGAAAAAAUAAACUCUUUCAACUUACUUAAAUUAGUAUACAGUCUGUCUGAAAAAAAUGUGAUUGCUUUACUAGUUCAAAAUUCUCUAAACAUUUCUAAAAUGUGAAAGAAGAGUUAAGUUAACGAAUGUGUGUAAGCUAAGUUCUAUAAAUUGAAGAAAUUAAAUUGAAAUUCUUUCACACUUGUUUUCCUUUUUUCCAUUUAAAAAAAAAAAAAAAAAAAAAAAAAAAAAAGGUUCCUCAGUUAACAGGGAGCCCUUACAGCCAUUACUCGGUUGAAAGAUGACAUGAGUCUGCUCCCAGUUACACUAGGAUAUAACAAUGCAGUCUUACAGUUUUGGAAAUCUAGAAAAAUAGUUUAGAAAUACUCCAUUUCUCAUGUGCAUGUUCCCCAAAAUUAUUUUUCUUUUGUCCAGCCUCAUGUCACCAAUUUCAUUUCAAAAAAACAUACAACUCUAGUGUUUAUAAAUAAAAAUAAAUGAAAUGAAAAGUAUACACCAGUUGCUGAACUUCUAUGAAAAUAACAAUUUUGGAAACCUGGCCUGUUAUUCUUGUACUGCUGGUCCUAAUGCGAAUGCAAGUUGAAAGGUCCGAGUUCUUUUGUCAGUAGUCAGUACUGUACAAAUUAUGAUUAAAAAACAAAAACAAAACAACAACAAAAAACAUGUCUGUCGCUUUGGAUGAAGAGUGCAAUACAAUUCUGCACACCAAGCAUCCACUUCCCUUUAUUCAACUUCUAAAAUAAAAAUUUGACAAUCGUAAUGCAAACAGGAAGCAGAAAAUUGUACAGAGACUGAAUGAGACACACACACACACACACACACCCACACAUAUAAAUAUCUUGGAGAGGACAAAGAGCUUGUUCAGCAUCCCAUGAUUAGAACUAAAACUGCAUCGUUCCUCCUGAAUCUGAGGUUUGACGGGCUCUUGUGUCCGUUAACCUGAUGUGGACAUUAGCAGGGAAGCUGAGCAGUGUGGUCUUCCUGUAGUUGGAGCACACCCUCCAGUCCUUCCUCUUAAACCACCUUAAUCUGCCAGUCGAAAGGCAUUGAAUGUUGCCUAACAGAAUCUUUUCGAGGCCAACCAAAAGUCUCGUUCCAUGCCCUCACCAAAUGCCUCCCACACGUAUUGAUUUUUUUUUUUUUUUUGGCUUUACUUCCAUCUACCAAUUUUCUUUGGGAGAACCUACCAGGAGCAAAGGCCUCUAACAACAUGGCCAUGGUAAGGUGGUAAUACAUGGAGGGGUGGUUUGUCAAAAAUAUCCUUGUAUCAUUUUCCCACAGCUUAUCACUGAUGGGUGUGGCAGCUAGUUGUAGGAGUGUUGUCUAUUAUUAUUAUUAUUAUUAUAAUUAUAAUAAUUAUUAUUAUUAUUAGUGUUGUUGUUGUUGUUAUUGUUUUGGUAACACUCUUUUUGAUACAAAGAAGAACUAUCUUCACUUUUUAAAUUGGCUUUAUUUAUUUUAAAUCAGACUUUUCUACCUGUCUGGCACUUGUUGGCUUUGUGAAUAAUAGUGAUUUGAGGUUUGGUAGCCAGCCCUUUCGCUCCAUUAACGCUUGUUUUGACACAUAAUUUAGAGCAAAAAUGUAUUAUUUUAAAAAUGUGUGUGUGACAUUUGUAUCAAAGAACAGAUUUACAUUUUUUUUUAAGUAUUCAUGUGGGGAUGACCAUUUAUAGCCACUUCACAGACUUUUUCGUUCUCUCAUUUGUUAUGUAAUAAGUCAUAAGAUGAUGAUGAUAAUCAUUUUAUUAAGGUUUCCGAGUUAAACAUAGAACAGUGAAAAUGGGAAUAAUUUCAUUGUAUAACUACAUACACAUAACUGAUUUUUCCACUUUAUAUUUUUUAAUUGUCAGUUUAAAAACCAAAAACUUAUAUUAGAAUAUAAAAACUACUAUGUUGGGUAUAAAACAAGGUUUGAGUUCAGUAUAUUGUUUGCCACUUCUUUUAAAGUUCUGUUUUCCUUGUUGCGACCUCUUAAUGUCAUUUUUCCUUUUUUGACUUUCAAAAAAAAGUACAUUUCUUGAUCACCUGUGAAACAAAUUGAUUUUUGUUUUAUUGACUUUUGCAAAUUUGUAUAUUAAACUGUGAGGGCUAGAAAUGAACUUAAAUACAAAAGUUCAUCAUAAAACUGUUUUCAGUAAGUGGUGUGUUCUGAAAAUAAGCCCAUUAAAAAUGAUUUUCUCCUGUGAAACCAUGCAUUUCUGGAUUACUUUCAGCAUAGUGAUAUUUUCAAAUCAUUCCCUAGAAGUCAGAUUAUGGCAGCUUCCACUGGUCCGUCUGCCAUUUUACCAUGGACCUCAAAUAGAAAACACACAAACUUGUCUUUUAAACUGAUCUGACAUUCAUGUUGAGCUUUUUUUUUUUUUUUUUUUCUUCCUGGUUUUUUUUCCUGGUUUUUCUGGGGGGUUUUCUGGUGUCGUGAUUGCCGUUCUCCAGCUACGGCUCAGUGGUUUUCAUUUGAAGUGUCCAGUUUCCAAAGCCAGGUCUUCUUAUCCGGUAAGUAGUGCACUUCACUUCAAAAAACGAGGAAAAAAAAAAAAAGACGAAUGAAAUUUUGUGUUCCUUAGGGGACGUAACGUGUCCUCUUUGUGUGUGCCAGCACAAAGCACAUUGACAACAUUAGUAGUGCAUUGGUUAUUACCUGCUCUGCUCCUCCCUGGAAGUUCCUCCAGUCCUCUAAAUUUCACUGUUUUGAUGCACUGGAGGAAUCCAGCAAACAUCAUAGAGGCAAAGGUGCUAACCAGAAGCAUUCACAGCCAACUUGACAUGCACAAGAAGGACCUAAGCCACAUUUAUUUAUUUAUUGAUUUUUAAUGGGACCAUUCAUAAGUAGUAGACAGC